rnacentral:lncRNA from 1 species
CUCUCUCUCUUACCCUUUUCUCUCUCUCUCUAGGAAAGAAAAGAAAAGAAAGGAAAGAAGGAGAAGAAGAAAGAGAAGAAAGAAAAGAAAGAAAAAGAGGAAGAAGUAGAAGAAGUCCAAAAAGAAGAAGAAGAAGGUCUUCUUCUCUCUCUCCUUCAACCUAGGACAAGCUUGAAGCUUAGGUUAGAGGUAAGCUUCAAACCCCUUUAAUGGAAAUUCUAGGGUUUUGGGUUUUUAUGAUUUAGAAUUGGUUCAAAUGGAACCUAUUAGGGAUAAAUAGAAGGUCCGAGCUCGAAAUCG